CCUACGGGUGGCAGCAGUGAGGAAUAUUGGUCAAUGGACGAGAGUCUGAACCAGCCAAGUAGCGUGAAGGAUGACUGCCCUAUGGGUUGUAAACUUCUUUUAUAUGGGAAUAAAAUGUUCCACGUGUGGGAUUUUGUAUGUACCAUAUGAAUAAGGAUCGGCUAACUCCGUGCCAGCAGCCGCGGUAAUACGGGGGUUUCGAGGGUUCGCCGGAUUUAUUGGGUUUAAAGGGAGCGUAGGUGGAUUGUUAAGUCAGUUGUGAAAGUUUGCGGUUCAACCGUAAAAUUGCAGUUGAAACUGGCAGUCGUGAGUACAGUAGAGGUGGGCGGAAUUCGUGGUGUAGCGGUGAAAUGCUUAGAUAUCACGAAGAACUCCGAUUGCGAAGGCAGCUCACUGGACUGCAACUGACACUGAGGCUCGAAAGUGUGGGUAUCAAACAGGAUUAGAUACCCCAGUAGUC
rnacentral:rRNA from 1 species